rnacentral:rRNA from 1 species
UACAGAGGGUGCAAACGUUGUUCGGAAUUACUGGGCAUAAAGCGCGCGUAGGCGGCGAUGUAAGUGUAGGGUGAAAUCCCACGGCUUACCCGUGUGAAUUGCCCCGCAUACUGCAUUGCUCGAGUGUGGUAGGGGAGAGCGGAACUCCUGGUGGAGCGGUGAAAUGCGUAGAUAUCAGGAGGAACACCGGUGGCGAAGGCGGCUCUCUGGUCCACUACUGACGCUGAAGUGCGAAAGCUAGGGUAGCGAACGGG